GACGAACGCUGGCGGCGUGCUUAACACAUGCAAGUCGAACGGACCGAGUUGAUAGCUUGCUAUUGAUGAGGUUAGUGGCAAACGGGUGAGUAACGCGUAGGCAACCUGCCCUUCAGAUGGGGACAACACCUCGAAAGGGGUGCUAAUACCGAAUGACGUUUCCUGGUCGCAUGACCUGGAAACCAAAGGCCGGGCAACCGGGUCACUGAAGGAUGGGCCUGCGUCUGAUUAGCUAGUUGGUGGGGUAACGGCCACCAAGGCGACGAUCAGUAGCCGGUCUGAGAGGAUGAACGGCCACAUUGGGACUGAGACACGGCCCAAACUCCUACGGGAGGCAGCAGUGGGGAAUAUUGGACAAUGGGGGAAACCCUGAUCCAGCGACGCCGCGUGAGUGAAGAAGUAUUUCGGUAUGUAAAAGCUCUAUCAGCAGGGAAGAUAAUGACGGUACCUGACUAGAAGCACCGGCUAAAUACGUGCC
rnacentral:rRNA from 1 species